UCCCAGACUCCUACGGGAGGCAGCAGUGGGGAAUAUUGCACAAUGGGGGAAACCCUGAUGCAGCAACGCCGCGUGAGUGAAGAAGUAUUUCGGUAUGUAAAGCUCUAUCAGCAGGGAAGAAAAUGACGGUACCUGAGUAAGAAGCCCCGGCUAACUACGUGCCAGCAGCCGCGGUAAUACGUAGGGGGCAAGCGUUAUCCGGAUUUACUGGGUGUAAAGGGAGCGUAGACGGCGAUGCAAGUCUGAAGUGAAAGCCCGGGGCUCAACCCCGGGACUGCUUUGGAAACUGUAUGGCUGGAGUGCUGGAGAGGCAAGCGGAAUUCCUAGUGUAGCGGUGAAAUGCGUAGAUAUUAGGAGGGACACCAGUGGCGAAGGCGGCCUGCUGGGCUUUUACUGACGCUGAGGCUCGAAAGUGUGGGGAGCAGACAGGAUUAGAUACCCGCGUAG
rnacentral:rRNA from 1 species